GAUAUACAGGCAUGUGUGUGGGAGGCAGGAGUCCCAGCCACAGCCAUCUCAGAUUUCGAAAUCUCCAAGAUGCUAGAAUCCACAUCCCCCGCUCUUCCAGGUCAGGCUCCAGGAGCAAACACUCGGAUGGAGAUUGUCAUGCAAGUCGUCUGUUAAGGCGCUGUGUCAUCUGGAUCAGCCCUCACAACAAUGCUACCUGCCCUAGUGUGCACAUUUUAUAAAGCCUCGUUUCGUGGACCUGCAUUACAGCGCCUCCCUAAGUGACCUGACACUUUGCACAAGGUCACACGGCCCGUCUGUGGCAGAACCGGAAUUAGAAGCCUGGGUCCUGACUCAUUGAUUUUCUCCACCCGAUAUCAACCCUCAGAGUUUCCAAAUCCGGCAGGCAGCAGAGCACGCUGCUCUUUAGAAAGAUGAGCCAAUUUACAUUCUCGGCAGCAGGAUGUGGGCUGCCCCCUCUCCUGGAGAGGCCUUUCUCAAAUUGACAGAUGUCAGCGGCCUUGAUCCAUGCGUGGCUUCUCCAAGCAGUCCUCCUGCUCGGGGACCUCGGCUCUUCUUUGAUUCCAGCCAUGGUACAGAGACAGCCCCUGCCGGCAGGCACUUGUGUUCCAGUAAGUUCUGUCUUGCCCUUGCUGCGAGGGCUCUGCUGGAUAGCACGGUGGUAACCAGGCCUGCAUUUUACCCUUGCAGGGGUGUGGUAAGGAUCCCACGAGAUAUGGGCAGGGAAGUGUUUGGAAAAAUAGUGCCAUGCUGGGCAAACACAGAGCAUUGUGAUUGCAGUGGGUGGGAAAGCAGGCAGGAGGAGGAGGCAGAUGGGAGGGUGUUGCGGUUUCUCCUCUGGAGUUGGGCCCAGAGCCUUCUCCCCGCUUCCCUCUGACAUUGCAGGGCUUGCCAGGUUCUGUGCGAGCAAGUGGAGGGGGCUGCUGGAGCUCCCUGACACUGUGGCUCUGCGUGUUCAGCUGCACUAGAGCCUUCCAUGUCAGACAUCUGCCACUAGAUUCAAGGAAAGCUUUUUUUAGGCUGUGAAGAGGUGAUUAUUUUGCAUUAUGUAAGAGUAGCCAUCCAGGAGAAUGAGAAAUUUCCCUCUGAGAAGAAAAUCAAGAGACGUUGCCUGAAUCCUGUCAACUCUACAACUCACAGAGCGUUCUUCACCUUUAUAGGGAAGGAUG